UGCUCAGCGUCCCUAAAUUAGUGCAGAAGACAGGACAACCACGUAACCAUUCAAUUUCUGCAUAAGAAAGGACAACCAUUUAACCAUUCUGAUCCACGGUUCCUCUCCGACGACAGUGGUGAGCAGUUCAGGUCUGGGAGCAUUUUGUGCUGCUGCUGCUAUGUUCCGGUACUGUUGAUGUGAUACUGCUUCUCCUCUUGCUACUGAUCCUGUGCUGUUGCUCCACUUGCUACUGUUGUUGUGCUGGUGCUGCUCUUGCUGAUAAUGCUGCUAAUAAUGCCGCCUGCUAUUGAUACUGCUGAUAAUGCUGUUGUUGUUGCUGGUCCUCUUGAUCAACUGCUCCUCUUGAUCAGCUGUUGUGUUAAUGAUGCUCUUAAUGCUUUUGUUGUCCUAAUCCUGAGCUAUCGAUCUCUUGAUGUGGAGUAAUUUGAAGAUCUCUUUUGUUGUCCUACUCCUGUACUCUUGAUCUUGAUCUGGAGCACACCUGAUUCCUUGAUCUGGAGUAAUUUGAAGAUCUCCUGAUCUGGUGUUGUGCUAUGAUGAGAAAUUAUUGCUACUGUGAUUUAUUGCUGCUCUCGAAGCUACUCCUCUUGAUCUUAUACUCCACUGUCAAGCACAUGGAUCUUGUACUCCACUAUAGUGGAAUUGAUUUUGAUCUCGUAUCUUG
rnacentral:rRNA from 1 species